CCUACGGGUGGCAGCAGUGAGGGAUAUUGGUCAAUGGCCGGAAGGCUGAACCAGCAAUGCCGCGUGAAGGUCAGUGCCCUAUGGGCGUUAAACUUCUUUUGUGCGGGAGCAAUAAUGGUCACGUGUGGCCAGACGAUAGUACCGUCCGAAUAAGCAUCGGCUCACUCCGUGCCAGCAGCCGCGGUAAUACGGGAGAUGCAAGCGUUAUCGGGAUUUAUGGGGUUUAAAGGGUGCCGAGGCGGUGAGGUAAGUCAGCGGUGAAAUGCCCCCGCUCAACGGGGUGAAGUGCCAUUGAUACUGCCGUGCUGGAAUGCGGAUGCCGUGGGAGGAAUGUGUGGUGUAGCGGUGAAAUGCAUAGAUAUCACACAGAACACCGAUUGCGAAGGCAUCUCACGAAGCCGCGAUUGACGCUGAUGCACGAAAGCGUGGGUAUCAAACAGGAUUAGAUACCCGAGUAGUC
rnacentral:rRNA from 1 species